AAAAUGGCACACAUAAAUAUUCGUAUCGUGUUAUUGUUUUUUCCUACAAUAGUGAAAUGUACAAAACUCGAGGCAAGAGACGAAAAAAUUUUUCCGAAUGAAACGCUAGUUGGGAUGUAUCAAUAUGUAGACGCACAGGGUAACCAAGUGCAUGUGAAGUACUUUGCUGAUGCAAAUAGUUACAGCAUUAACUUAAGAGGAUACAAGAUCCCAGAAACCGCAGAAGAGACUACUAGAGAAAAUUUAACUGCCUUAGUAGAUAAGCCAACCACCGAAGUGACAGAUACAUUGGUACCGCUAAAAUUAGACUUUCCCGCUGUUGACAACAUUUACACAAUCGAAAACUCGAACAAUAAUAAUGAUAUUUCUCACAUUAAACAACGACAUCAAGAAACUAAUGAUGACCAAGCCGAAGAUUAUAAUUAUUAUGAUUCCGUGUUGAAAAUACCUAAGAUUGAAUCUCAUGAAAACUUUAAGAAAAAGAGGAAAACCAUAAGAAAGAUUAGAAAAACGUUGGAUAUUUUUAUGAGAAAAAUACCUAAUUUAUAAUUACUUUUACUUCGGUCCUGUUUAGUUCGUAUUUUAUAUGAAUAAUAUUUACUGUUACU